rnacentral:lncRNA from 1 species
CUUAUUUCAUUAGAAAGAAGGAAUCAUCCACGUUACACUUUUAUUAGUCACAUACACAUACACCGAAUGCUCUAUUCCAUAUAACCGAAAUAGUAUAGAUUAUAUAACAUAAUCUACAAUCUGUAAUACUAAACAUAUCUCAACCCCAAACCCUAGAUACUAAACCUUAUUCUAAUCACACCUUAACCCCUAAAUACUAAAUCAUAAACUCUAAUCAAUAAAUCCUAAACCCAAAUAUAAAUAAUAAAUCUAAAUUUUAAACCAAAAUCCAAAUAAAAUUGAAAAAACUAAAUAACAUAAUACAUAUUGAAGAAAUUAUGAAAUGUCUAUAAUUGCAUUGAAGAAAUUAAUGUUAACCUCAAACAUACCCCGUCACCUUCUAAAUGCUAAACCCUAAACCUGAAUUACUAAACCCUUACGUAAAUAUAAACCCUAAACUAAAACAUAAACCCUAAACCCAAAUAGAAUGAAACAAAAUAAAUAACAUAGUACAUAUUGGUGAAAAUAUGAAAUGUCUAUGAUUUUAUGGAAGAGGUUAAUAUUGAUCCCAACCAUACCUCCUCACCUUCUAAAUAAUAAACCCUAAACCCUAUACUCUAAUCACUAAACGUUAACCCAAAUAUCAAAAUCUAAACCUUAACCAGUGUUUAACCCCAAUUUUCCAUAAACUAAACUCAAAUUUUAAAAUGCCAGUAAAAUAC